UGUCAUUCUUAACAGGGAAAUCAGCCAGCCCUCCUGCGUGUGUGCUGGGAUCGCAUCAUCUUGGAUGAAGCCCAUGACAUCAAGAAUCAUAAGACCGAGACAGCCAUCUUGAUCUCUAAGCUAGAGGCCCGUGCACGAUGGGCUGUCAUAGCUUACCCGAUCCAGAACAACACCCUAGAAAUGUUCUCAUUUUUCAGAUUCUUGAGAUUUACACCCUAUGCUGAAUAUCCGGUGUGGAAGAAACUAGUAACAAAUACAGAGAAACUUCAUACACUGGUCAAGGGUAUCUUAUGGAGAACCAAGGACCAACAGACAAGCAAUGGGAAUCCAAUCGUGAGUAGUAACGACUCCAAAAAUAUCAAUCAUCCUUGAAUUGUACGCAUUUUCAUUGUUUUAU